rnacentral:rRNA from 1 species
GAUCGCUGCUAUUAGGGUUCGACUAAGCCAUGCAAGUCAAGGGGGUCUUCGGACCACCGGCAAACUGCUCAGUAACACGUCGAUAACCUGCCCUUAGGUUCGGAAUAACUUCGGAAAACUGAGGCUAAUACCGAAUAGGAGAAUUGUACUGGAAUGUCUUUUCUUUUAAAACUUCGGUGCCUAAGGAUGGGGCGGCGGCGGAUUAGAUUGUUGGUGUGGUAACGGCUCACCAAGUCUGAGAUCUGUAGGGGCCAUGAGAGUGGUAGCCCCGAGAAGGACACUGAGACACAGGUCCUAGCCCUACGGGGUGCAGCAGGCGCGAAACCUUUACAAUGCACGAAAGUGUGAUAAGGGAACCCUGAGUGCUUUGUUUUCGCAAGGCUUUUGUCAAGAAUAAAAAUCUUGGCGAAUAAGUGGUGGGUAAGACUGGUGCCAGCAGCCGCGGUAACACCAGCGCCACGAGUGGGGAUCAUGUUUAUUGGGCCUAAAGCGUCCGUAGCCGGUUUGAUAAAUCUUUUGUGAAAUUGUCGUGCUUAACAUGACAGCGUGCAAGAGACACUAUUUAACUUGGAACUGGGAGGAGUCAGAGGUAUUCUAGGGGGAGCGGUAAAAUGUUAUAAUCUCUAGAGGACCACCUGUGGCGAAGGCGUCUGACUAGAACAGCUUCGACGGUGAGGGACGAAAGCCAGGGGAGCAAAACGGAUUAGAUACCCGAGUAGUCCUGGCUGUAAACGCUGCGAGCAAGGUGUUGCAUAUCUUUCGUGGAUGUGCAGUAUCGAAAUGAAGAUGUUAAGCUCGCCGCCUGGGAAGUAUAGUCGCAAGACCGAAAC